AUUGAACGCUGGCGGCAGGCCUAACACAUGCAAGUCGAACGGUAACACAGAGGAGCUUGCUCCUUGGGUGACGAGUGGCGGACGGGUGAGUAAUGUCUGGGAAACUGCCCGAUGGAGGGGGAUAACUACUGGAAACGGUAGCUAAUACCGCAUAACGUCUUCGGACCAAAGUGGGGGACCUUCGGGCCUCACACCAUCGGAUGUGCCCAGAUGGGAUUAGCUAGUAGGUGGGGUAAUGGCUCACCUAGGCGACGAUCCCUAGCUGGUCUGAGAGCAUGACCAGCCACACUGGAACUGAGACACGGUCCAGACUCCUACGGGAGGCAGCAGUGGGGAAUAUUGCACAAUGGGCGCAAGCCUGAUGCAGCCAUGCCGCGUGUAUGAAGAAGGCCUUCGGGUUGUAAAGUACUUUCAGCGGGGAGGAAGGCGUUAAGGUUAAUAACCUUGGCGAUUGACGUUACCCGCAGAAGAAGCACCGGCUAACUCCGUGCCAGCAGCCGCCGUAA
rnacentral:rRNA from 1 species